UGCGGGGCGCAGCAGUGGGGAAUUUUGGACAAUGGGGGAAACCUGAUCCAUCCCGCGUGUGCGAUGAAGGCCUUCGGGUUGUAAAGCACUUUUGGCAGGAAAGAAACGGCGCAGGAUACCCGUGCAACUGACGGUACCUGCAGAAUAAGCACCGGCUAACUACGUGCCAGCAGCCGCGGUAAUACGUAAGGUGCAAGCGUUAAUCGGAAUUACUGGGCGUAAAGCGUGCGCAGGCGGUUCGGAAGAAGGUCUUGAAAUCCCAGAGCUUAACUUUGGAACUGCAUUUUAACUACCGAGCUAGAGUGUGUCAGAGGGAGGUGGAAUUCCGUGUAGCAGUGAAAUGCGUAUGCGGAGGAACACCGAUGACGAAAGCAGCCUCUGAGACCAACUUACUGACGCUCAUGCACGAAGCGUGGGGAGCAAACAGGAUUAGAUACCCGUGUGG
rnacentral:misc_RNA from 1 species